UCUCCCAUAGCUUAGUUGGUAGAGCGUAAUGCUUAUAUUCUCACAUUCUUCGGAAGUGAAUAUGCCUGAUAGCACAAUCUCGCAAGAGACGUUAAUGUCACGGGUUCGAGUCCCGUUGGGAGAA